rnacentral:rRNA from 1 species
UACGUAGGGCGCAAGCGUUGUCCGGAAUUAUUGGGCGUAAAGCGCUCGUAGGCGGCUUGUCACGUCGGGGGUGAAAGCCCGGGGCUUAACCCCGGGUCUGCAUUCGAUACGGGCUAGCUAGAGUGUGGUAGGGGAGAUCGGAAUUCCUGGUGUAGCGGUGAAAUGCGCAGAUAUCAGGAGGAACACCGGUGGCGAAGGCGGAUCUCUGGGCCAUUACUGACGCUGAGGAGCGAAAGCGUGGGGAGCGAACAGG